CUGGAAUGGAGCUAAUUCCCAGAUGACCAGCAGGAGGCGCUGUGGCAGUGAGUGUGUAAUCUGCUCCACCCACCUACCCCCAAAGCAACGCUUUUGGCAGCUGAAAAACAAUUUUAUUAACACCCUGAAACUUUGGAGGAAAACUGUCCUGGGCUUGCUGAAAAUUUUCAUGGGAACAGAUCUGAUUUCCCAACCAGCUCCGGAGUUGAGCUCUUUUGAAAAAUCAGAUUUCAGGGGAAGGUGCUGGCCACUUGACGGUCUAGGCCUGCGUGACUUGGAAAUUGUAUUCCUCUCUGCCCUAGACUCCUGCCUGCAAAGUGGGGCUAAGAAGACAUCCCUGCCUCACUGGGGUAUUGUCAUACAUUAAUGUAACACUUGUCAGCGACUGUAGUGAUGGGAGCCAUAGCAAAGCUAAGACACAUAUUUAGAGCUAAGAUCAUAGAUUUUUCUUUGUCACAGAAACCACCCUAAGCGGAAGGACUAACACACUAUGGUUAAUUCUCUUAGUCACUCACUUCACUGAGGACAAGGCUCACCCACGCAUUUUUAAGGAUAUAUGAGGCCCCAUUUCCAGCAGUAUUUGCACCAGGUGCUUCUGUACAAAAAUGGAUUUGCUGCUGAGUCAUCCUGUUAUCAGAUGCUUGAAGUAUCAGCACUGAGUCAUAGCAGCUGGUGGAUUCUGUUCACUCCAGCCAGGCUAUUAAGCAGUCAGGGUGUCUCUCAAGACCAGAGGGAAUUAUGAUCUGGACCAUGCAUGAGAAAACUUUAGGAAGAGCUAAAUUGGGAGGAAGUUUAGGCUGAAGUUUCUGUUGCGCCGUUAUCAGAGUGACCAAGAGGCAGCCUUGUGUUUCCAUAUCCAGAGAUGGGAACGUGAAGCCCCAGUGAGUCCCCUCGUGGAGAGCAGCUGUCGGCACCGAGCAUGCUGGCUCCUAGAAGCCUGUGCGACAGCCCUGCCCUGCUGCUGGUGUCACGCUCUGUCCCUCCACACGGCCUAGCCUCAUGCGAUCUGAUGCCUGUGCCAGGCCUUCCUGUGAGUCAAGCUGGAAGGAAUGAAGGCUUGGGAGUCUUACAGUGAUAUCAUGUCACCUGAAUGGGAAUCCAUCCAUCUGGUGCUUUUCCAUUGAGGAGGGGUGGGAACCCAGAGAGACAAAGGAUUCCCGCCUUAUGCAAAAGAUAUAUAAGUGGGUGGAACAGAAAAAAGGAGGCAAGCAUCAUGAGAA